rnacentral:lncRNA from 1 species
UGGAUAAUUGGUCCACGAUCUAGAUUUAUUAUUUGUUAAGACAUGUGUUUUGUUUUCAGUUGUCUUUGAAUGCAAAUCUUCUGUUUUUGUAUGUUAAAUGAACUCUUACGUGUUAUAUACUACUCCCGAAUAUAUAUGACUUGGCUAAUAAGAUCGUUUCAGUUCCAAAGAGAGAGUCCCUUGAAGCUUCCGAACAUCGUGGCUUGAUUCCAGGCAGCGGAACGGGACAAUAGCGGCUUCAUCGACGACGACAAAGAGCUUCAGGGGGAAUGCUGGUGUAUUGGGUUGAGUCGAGCUAUAUAUUUAACUUUUUGCGGUUUUACGCCUACAUGAGAAUUACGGUUAGUCGAUCGAGGUCUUAACCAAUGACUUUUUGUUGUUGCUUCGCUUUUUCUCUGAGCUAUCCCAUGGCCGGUCAGCCAUCCACCUUUCCAACCAGCUCCAACCCUAAGCCGGGCUGUUAGGAUCCAUGAACAGCGUGUUUUCAGGUUUCAGGUUGCUCUUCAAGUCUUGCUGCAAGUAUAAGCCAGAUAAUAUCAUUAGGCAUUUAUACCAACCCGAUGCUACUGGCUACAAUUGUGAAGAUAUCAAACUUCAGGCCUCAUAGAAUUUUAAGGAGCUUUUAAAGACUGCAUUGUCUAGAAGUUCAACUUUAAUGGUCUUGCACGUUUCUAAAUGAUUACACAUAAGCCUCUAAACCCCUAAGUAUAAUAGCAUAGAAGAUAUAUCUGGUACACAUGAGAGUACCUGAUGUGUGAAUGCAUAAGCCAAUGCUCUUUUCCUUCUCAUUGUCGUCUCGUACUUAUUCAACAAACCUCCUUUGAGUGAUUGAUGUUGUUCCAGUUACAAAGGGUUGAAAAGCUAAUGCAUUCCCAAGAUCCACUCAUACGAAGUGACUGAGUUACAAAAAACGCUGGGCAGGAUAAUGAAACUUGGAAGUGGUAAAUGACAACUGCAUCUGAGAGUACACAAAAGUGACACUUUUAAUGCCUCUAAUCUCUUUAGCAUGAUUCUGAAGAAGUUACUUAUGGCCAGCCUGAUUCUCUUCUUACAUCAUGAUUCUCCUGGAACAGAUUUGUGACUGUACACGAAUGAGAAUCUAGAUAAAUUUAAGGUCAUUUGCAGCUAACUUAUUCCCUUAACUAAUUCAUUGAUUAAGGGAAUUAUUAGUUGAUGAAAAUCGCAAGGUCUCUGUUUUUGGGUCUUAAGGGUGUUUACCCCACUAGCGAUCACGACACCGGUAACAACAGGGACGAGAGCACCAUAAGUAAUCCAAGCCUCUCUCUUAAACGUCAUGAGAUACGCAAACAGCGCUGUGAAAAACGGCGUCGUAGCCCCCACGGCUUGAUUAAACGAAACAGGAAGAUAACGAAGGGAGACGUUUCCUCCAACAACGGAGGCGCAGAAGACGACGCUGAGAGUCGCGACUUUCAUGAACUGGGAGCGAGAUUUGAGGUGCUGGAGAGGGACGAGCUUGAGGAAGACGAUGGAGAGGUAGCUGAGGAUGGCGCAGGCGGACAUGUGGCACAUCGUGAGGAAGAUGGGGAAUUUGAAUCCGUAGUUUGAGAGGAGGAACUUGUUGAGGAGAAGGACGCCGAUGUUGGAGGUGUACCAGAGGAUGAUUAGGGAUAAUAUGAAGAGGGUUUGUUUCUUCGGGGAAGAUGAUGAAGAAGACGACGAUGAGGACAUUUCUGGUUUUUGAUCUGGGUUCUUCUUGUUGUUGUUCAUCUUCUUCGUUGAUGAGAUGAAAUCGAAAUGUGGUUGGAGUUUUUGAUAGGAGACGAGAUAAAUUAGCUCCUUGCCUCGUGCAUGGGGAUGAGAGAAAGUAUUGAACUGUUGUGUUAGUAAACGUAAUUAAUGCAACAUUAUUAAAUUUAUAAGACAAUUGAUCAUCUUAAAAGCAAUUUAGGAUUUUUUUUUUUUGUCAAAUUGGUAUUCAUGGCAGUUUGUUUUCCUCGGAUUAGGUAAGAAAUUUGGAUAAUUGGUCCACGAUCUAGAUUUAUUAUUUGUUAAGACAUGUGUUUUGUUUUCAGUUGUCUUUGAAUGCAAAUCUUCUGUUUUUGUAUGUUAAAUGAACUCUUACGUGUUAUAUACUACUCCCGAAUAUAUAUGACUUGGCUAAUAAGAUCGUUUCAGUUCCAAAGAGAGAGUCCCUUGAAGCUUCCGAACAUCGUGGCUUGAUUCCAGGCAGCGGAACGGGACAAUAGCGGCUUCAUCGACGACGACAAAGAGCUUCAGGGGGAAUGCUGGUGUAUUGGGUUGAGUCGAGCUAUAUAUUUAACUUUUUGCGGUUUUACGCCUACAUGAGAAUUACGGUUAGUCGAUCGAGGUCUUAACCAAUGACUUUUUGUUGUUGCUUCGCUUUUUCUCUGAGCUAUCCCAUGGCCGGUCAGCCAUCCACCUUUCCAACCAGCUCCAACCCUAAGCCGGGCUGUUAGGAUCCAUGAACAGCGUGUUUUCAGGUUUCAGGUUGCUCUUCAAGUCUUGCUGCAAGUAUAAGCCAGAUAAUAUCAUUAGGCAUUUAUACCAACCCGAUGCUACUGGCUACAAUUGUGAAGAUAUCAAACUUCAGGCCUCAUAGAAUUUUAAGGAGCUUUUAAAGACUGCAUUGUCUAGAAGUUCAACUUUAAUGGUCUUGCACGUUUCUAAAUGAUUACACAUAAGCCUCUAAACCCCUAAGUAUAAUAGCAUAGAAGAUAUAUCUGGUACACAUGAGAGUACCUGAUGUGUGAAUGCAUAAGCCAAUGCUCUUUUCCUUCUCAUUGUCGUC